GAGGACGCGAAGGCGGUCCAGCCGCGCCCCUGUGUAUUCUUAGCUGAGGAUGUCCCCGCCUAGGUAGGGUACGGUUUACGGCCAGUCCUCAACUCUGAAAAUGAGUGCGACUCGGCGUUUAAUAAAGGUAGCCAUGCUGAGCAGGGCUUCGGAGGACAGGCUCGGAAGGGAGUGGGCCGGGGAAGCCACACGCCCAGGAACCCUUGGCUGGGCACAAAAGGAAACUGACCGGGACUCACCUGGGUCACGGCUGCCACCCUGCGGACAGGAAGCUUGGAAGGUCAUGGAAGUCACCUCAACCUUCAUUUGCUAUAGUAUAAUUUGUAUUUCAGCCCCUUCGGCUCUGACUAAGUUAACUCUUUGCUUAGUUGUUAUAAAGUAUAUAUUUUA
rnacentral:lncRNA from 1 species